rnacentral:rRNA from 1 species
AUUGAACGCUGGCGGCAUGCCUUACACAUGCAAGUCGAGCGGCAGCACGGCAAUAGCAAUAUUGUGGGUGGCGAGCGGCGGACGGGUGAGGAAUGCAUCGGGGAUCUACCCUGUCGUGGGGGACAACGUAGGGAAACUUACGCUAAUACCGCAUGAUCUGGAGACAGCAAAAGCCGGGGACCUUCGGGCCUGGCGCGAUGGGAUGAGCCGAUGUCCGAUUAGCUAGUUGGCGGGGUAAAGGCCCACCAAGGCGACGAUCGGUAGCUGGUCUGAGAGGACGACCAGCCACACUGGAACUGAGACACGGUCCAGACUCCUACGGGAGGCAGCAGUGGGGAAUAUUGGACAAUGGGGGCGAACCCUGAUCCAGCCAUGCCGCGUGGGUGAAGAAGGUCUUCGGGUUGUAAAGACCCUUUUGUGCGGAAGAAAAGUACGUCGGUGAACAAUCCGGCGAUGCUGA